GGCAGUUCUUGGGUGACACACCCCAGAAUCAGGCUCCCUCCUCUCUGGUUCUGGGUGCAUCACCCAAGAACCGCA
rfam:Myotis brandtii contig266651, whole genome shotgun sequence.